rnacentral:piRNA from 1 species
UACUCCAGCCAGCACCCUCUGGUUUUUGCCU